GCAAAGGGCAGAGGUCAGCGAGUCAUACACCCUGCCCCCCGUUCCCUCCACAUCACCCUCAGGUGCAGUGAGUCCUGGGGAGAGUGUUUUCAAGAGAUUUGAUAAUAUGCGGAAUAGUUUGGGUUUGUUAAA